rnacentral:other from 1 species
CGUCCUCUGCGGUGUACGUGUUGUUCCGGCAAUCCUUUGAACCUAUCACCACAAUCCGGGAGCCGAACAGCAGAUGCUGUUGUGCAAGUCCGCCAUCGCAGCGGAAAGCCUGAUGCAUCUCUAAGGCGCCCACUUGAACCGUUCGGUUCAAGGUGUAACGGGCAACACGGCACAGGCGGAGGGCGC